UACAAACAAAUAAUUGAAAAUUAUUGUUUAUAUACAUUUACAUUUAAGUAAAGAAAAAAUCGAAGAUGUGUCGUUGUAUUAUUAGAAAUUAAUGCUAUAUUAAAUGCUUGGUCAGUGUCGUUGUGGGUUUUGGUUCUUUUGCUGUUAUGGGUUAUAAAGACCUUUGAAAUACUGAAAUCGUUUGGCUUAACAAUAUGGACAUAUAAUGCAGUCAAGACCUGCCUGGAACUACUUUAGCCAUGGCUUUCGCUGAAAAUAACUGCUCACACAUUCUUCAACCAAUCAGAUUCAAGCAUUCAACGGCCCCCGUAGCAUAAAAAAUGUAAAUUCAAAGUUCAAAUAACUGUUUUGUGUUUGAUUUCCUUACUGAUUUAUUUUCUCCACUAAGAUGAGCUUAACCUUGAGAAGAAGCCAAUCUCUUAAGAGCCUCUCUGGAGGUCAUAGUUCAUGGUUUUGGGACAGAAGGACACCUGUUUCUCAGCUUGUUGAAAGGUAUGAGAGCUGUGUGGAUCUCACAGAUAUUGACAGAGAAGAGGCAUAUUCCAAGUCAUCCGGCCUGAGAAGAUCAAACCAUGAAGAGAAUAAAGUUGAAAAUCUCUGGAGGAGAUACGAAUCCCUCAGUGGGACAAAUAACACUUUGUCCAGAAGUAUUUCAAUGGACAUGCUGCCCCAGCCAGACCUGGUGGGCCCUAAAGCUCAGAGGGUCUUGUCUGAGUCAAAGAAGUAUGCAAGCAGCCCUCGGCUCAACGUCACACCACAGACCAAAAGCAGCCCAAUGAGUCCCAGUACCUCACAGUGGAGGGAGGCACCGACGGGGUGGGAGAAAGUCUAUUCUGGUGCCACUACUGUCACCAGCGCCAAAAAGGACAAGGCUCAUCAGAAAGAAAAAACCUUCAAUGAGCCAAUGAGAAGAAGGACAAUCAGUGGGGUUCCUGGAUGUGUCACCCGAUCCUCCACUGGACCGAAUGGUAAGUUGAUUAACACAUUAUAAAUACACCUAAUUAUUUGUACAACUAGUGUAAAUGAGGGAGAAUAUAUUUGCCAGUUAUUUCUUCUAGGCUCAGCUGUGAUGCAGGCAGUAACCGUGAGGUCAAAGGUCAUGUGAACUUUAUGCACUAUGUGAGACAAAACCUUGGCAUCUAAAGUCUUCCUACACAAGCAUGCGAUGCCAGCUGUCUGUGUUAAAAAUAUUCCUCAAAUAAUCCUAACAGAAUAGUUUCGAUUUAACGUCACAGACAAAAUCCUGUCUGCAAAGAGUGAGUCGUAUUUCACAGGUUUUCAAUGAGGGCCGAG
rnacentral:lncRNA from 1 species